GAUGAAGAACGCAGCGAAAUGCGAUAAGUAAUGUGAAUUGCAGAAUUCCGUGAAUCAUCGAAUCUUUGAACGCACAUUGCGCCCUCUGGUAUUCCGGGGGGCAUGCCUGUUCGAGCGUCAUUUCAACCAUCAAGCCCCAGGCUUGUGUUGGGGACCUGCGGCUGCCGCAGGCCCUGAAAACCAGUGGCGGGCUCGCUGUCACACCGGGCGUAGUAGAUUUUAUCUCGCUCAGGGCGUGCUGCGGGUUCCGGCCGUUAAAAAGCCUUUUUUACCCAAGGUUGACCUCGGAUCAGGUAGGAAGACCCGCUGAACUUAAGCAUAUCAAUAAGCGGAGGA
rnacentral:misc_RNA from 1 species